CCUAAGUAUUGUAUCCUUGGUUAGUGUUUUGGAUUCAAAUAUGAGUUGAUGUGAUGUGUAUGAUUGAGUAUAAGAACUUAAACCGCAACUGGAGCUUUAGUGCCUCAGUAGUGUUUCCUCGUUAGAAGAUACAAAGGCAAAGACUCAUACGGAGUUUAGCUACACCAUCAAAGCUUUAAGAAGCAAGAAGAAGCUUGGUUAGUGUUUUGGAGUCAAAUA
rnacentral:sRNA from 1 species